rnacentral:lncRNA from 1 species
AUGGGGACUGCCCUCCCAUCUACCAUACCCAGAUACUCUUCCCUCUGCACCCCCCCACAAGAUACAUUACCUGCCAGGGCCUCCCACCCGCCCCGAUGCUCGGUCGUCUCCUCUUCCUCCGCCGCUGCCGCCGCCGCCGCCGCCGCCGCGCUCCCUCUCGCAGCCGCAUCCCCAGAUGUGCGCCAGAUGUGCGGGUCACGCUCCCUGGUUCGCACAAAGAGGUCGCCCCCAUCCGGAAAAGGAAGUAGGCCGGGAUUCCCCUUCUCUCUUAGCUCAGGAGUAACAGAUUUCAUUUCUCGUGAAUCGCAGAACUACAACCAGACCUCUAUUAUUAGAUGAAGGAUAAUCAUGCUGAGUUUGGGAGAGAAGAACAAGAAUUCAGUAUUAAAAUAAUAAAAGCUAAUGAAAGGAUUUCA